UCAGACUUCAGGGAGGUCCUCCAUUAGGGAGCAGGCGGUAUCCCUCCAGAAGGUACGUGGACGUCCUCACCCAAAGCUCAGGUGUGCCCAGCUGGGACACAGGAUCAGUACAGAUGUAACCGGGAAGACGAGGUCACACUGGAGAGCAGUGGCCCUUCAUCUAGCAUGACAGUCCUCAUAAGAGAAUGCACAGACACUAGGCCACGUGGGGACAUAGAAGGCCAGGUGACAAUGAAGACAGGUCCUGGAGCCAUGCAGUCACACACCGAGGAAGCCGAGGUCUGCCGGCAGCAGGAGAGUCAGCAGGAGAGUCAGGAAGAGGCCUCCCGGGGGCCCUCUGAGGGAGUGGGCCCUGCCCGACCUGGACCUUGACCUCAGAGCCUGGCCUCCAGACGGAGAGCAGGUUCCCUCUGUUCCCAGCCGCCCAGUGUGGGGUCCCUGCUAUGGCAGCCACAGGACACUGGGCCCGUGCUGGGUCCAGACCAAUCAGCCACCUACCGCAGUACCGGACCACCCCAGCUGGAACCAGAGGACGGGUCACCAGAACACAGGGGAGGAGUGGACAGCCGGAACCUGGGCCGAGGCCGCAGGCCAGGAGGCAGAGCGAGCAAGGACAGGAGGACGCACCCACUGGGCUCCCUGCCUGGUCACGACUGGACAGGACCAAACAUCUGGGACAGCUGAUCAGGAACCGGGCGCCUUGAAGACGGACCAGAGACCCUGGAGCUCUUUCUUCCCUCUCUGUCUGUCUCAACACCCCCACCUCCCCAGGUCCCUCCUGCCACCGUCGGGGUCUCAGAGGGCGAAACCCCCUGAAUGAUCAGAAACCACACUGAGGCUGCUUCCUUGGCUUUAGGACGGGCCUUUGGCUCUGGAGGCCCCAGGGCUGCUCCUGCUUCUCCUGCCCACCCCGUCCCCCUGCCAAGAGGCAGGAAGUGAAGAGCCACCGGGAAGUCAGAGCAGAUCGUCCCCAAGUCCCCACUAAACCCCCAUUUCCCAACUUGCUUCCCCAGGAGUUUGAUUCUGGGCUAUGUCCACUCACAGGUCACCAGCCUCGCUAAAAGGGUGGGCAGCGACUGGUAAGCAGGCGUGGGCCCGUGAACUCAGGUUUCUACUCAGAGCGUCCUGUUUUAGGGAAAAGCCGCCAUGGCCCGGGGCAGCAGUUCCAGAAGCACUGGCCGUCCAGGAAACCUAGGAAGAAGGACACGAUUCAGUGACGGGCAUUAAAAUAUAAAGCCACGAUGCAUUUUUAAACAUUCCUCACUUGUUUUCCAAAAAUCCCACAACCCCUCCCAGACAGCACGCGAGAACCUGCGGAAACGUGACUGUACUGUCCCUCUCACCUCCACCCGGGCUGGCCGCUCCCGGGCCCCCCCAUGGAGGUGGCUUGCUCCGGCCCAGGGGCGAACGUCCAUGGGGCGUGGCCAGGGGACAGCGGCCUGGGAGCUGCCGGCCCGCGUGGUAUUUUUCCUGCAUUAUUUAACACAGCCCUUUCAGCGUGUGCUGGAGCCGUGACGUUGCCAGCGAGGGACCAUGACCCAAGGAAUAUUUGCAAAAAGCUGAGUUAGGGAAGUGCCCAGUCCCGUGGAGGUUGGCGUCCCCAGUCACCGCAGCCCGGUGUCCACACUGUAAAAGGCAACACUUCCGAGUGGCUCCAGCCCAUGAUGAUGUGGUUCCCAGAGAGGGGCCAGGGCCUCGGCAGUGGAGAGGAGAGUCCUCGGGCCCCACCCCAGACCAACGUCCUGUGCAAAAGGAGGUUCUCAAAUGGGUUCUGGAGCGGGACCCCAUCCUGGCUCACAGCUGACCACUUCUGAUGUGGCCUCCUUCAGCAUCCUCUCUCCAUCCUGAGAGAGCCACUCGGGGCCCCCUGCCCCCCAUGCCACAAUCUCCUCUUUGCUUCAGGUUUUGGGUAUCAGAAAA